UAGCUGCAAGGUACGGAGUAUCUUCCCUGCAGAUUGCAAAUCUGCUGCUGCAAGCUUCCCCUCUUCCCCAUUUGCCCCCCUUUCUCAUCUUCUUUCUCUGUCAAAUGCUUACCAUGGCAGCUAUAAAAACCCAAACGGUGAUCAGCCAUUGGCACUGCUUGAGUCAUCGAGUAAUCCCUCCGAUAGUCUUCUCGAAACACCCAUCUUUUGUUGAGGUUUUGGUGUCAU
rnacentral:lncRNA from 1 species